rnacentral:rRNA from 1 species
UACAGAGGGUGCGAGCGUUGUCCGGAAUCACUGGGCGUAAAGGGCGCGUAGGUGGCGCGACAAGUCAGUGGUGAAAAGCUCGACGCUCAACGUCGAGUCGGCCACUGAUACUGUUAGGCUUGAGCACUGUAGAGGCUAAUGGAAUUCCGGGUGUAGCGGUGGAAUGCGUAGAGAUCCGGAAGAACACCGGUGGCGAAGGCGGUUAGCUGGGCAGUUGCUGACACUGAGGCGCGACAGCGUGGGGAGCAAACGG